GUACUCGCUUCGGCGGUACAUAUACUAAAAUUGGAACGAUACAGAGAAGAUUAGCAUGGCCCUACGCAAGGAUUACAUUCAAAAUCGUGUAGCGUUCUAUAUUUUU
rnacentral:snRNA from 1 species